AAACAGCCUAAAGUUUCCCAGACAGAGCCCACAGGACAGAUUUGGCUAUUUCUGUAUCUGGGCCGUGAUCACUCAGACCUGGAUUCUGGAAUCUUUCAUUUACUUGGACCUGGAUUACAGACCCUCCUAUUUGCAAGAACGCCCCACUUGACCUGCUCUCCAGGAAGCCAAAGCAGAGGAUGAGUGAGGAAGCUGUGCCACUAGAGGGGUCUUUGGUCCCAGUAAAGCAAAUUUGACCAACCAGUGUUUAGAGAGGGGUCCCCUGAGAUGGCUGUACAUCUGCCUGCUUCUCAUUGAAACGGUCCAUGGACCACCGCUUCAGAAUCACCAGGGAGCUUGUUAAAAUGCAGAUUGCAGGGUUCCUGACCCAGGAUGAGGAUCUCUAGGAUAGAUGCCAAGGAAGUGGUGUUUUUAACAAGUUCAACAAGUGUUCUAGGUUGAAGUUUUUGCCACAAUUAAAUUUGCCAUCCAUUGCCCUAAGGUAAGACAGGUCUUUUAUCUUUUGACGAAGGAACAAAUUUAACUAAAUGCAUCCACAGUGCUGGCAGCAGUAGUGUCUGCAACUUAAUAGCGAGAGCUGCCCCAGCCCUGUUGGGUAAGAUGGUCUGUGUUUGUGGUUUGGUUAAUUUUGGGGUUGUUUUGUUUGUUUGUUUAACUUUAAUGUUUUGUAGUUUAUUUACACAGAGCGGGUUUUCAGAAACAAUGAUAAGAAAAGAAAAAAGCUAUUUGUAGAAGAAAAAACUAAUCCGGGAAGAGAAAAGAGUUGAAACUAAGGGGGAAGGGAUGACUAAGAGAAAAAGCAGCAGAGAAGGCUGGGUUGGGGGGUAAGCAUAUGAGAGAGAAAAAGGUCGUUAUGGGGCAGCUGUCAACAGGACUUACAGAGAGAUGGCUGGUGGAGAUGAUCUUUUUUAAAAAAAAAAUAAUAUAGAACAUUUUCAUUCUAUUUGGUUAGAGUAUUUUUUCUUUGUUGCGGUAACAGUGGAUGAUAACAUUAUGUAUCUUUCAGGUGUACAUUGUAAUAUAUUUCGAAUUCUGUGUAGAUUACAGCAUGUUCACCACCCAAAGACUAAUUACAAUCCAUCCCCACAUACAUGUGAGCCUAAACACCCCUUUCCUUUUUUUCCUUCCCCUUCCCCUCUGGUAACCACCAAUCCAAUCUCUGUUGCUAUGUGUUUGUUUGUCGUUGUUUUUAUCUUCUCCUUUUGAGUGAGAUCAUAGGGUAUUUGACUUUCUCCGUCUGACUUAUUUCACUUAGCAUGAUACCCUCAAGGUCCAUCCAUGUUGUCACAAAUGGCUGGAUCUCAUCAUUUCUUAUGGCUGAGUAGUAUUCCAUGGUGUACAAAUACCACAUCUUCUUUAUCCGUUCAUCCCUUGAUGGGCACCAAGGUUGCUUCCAAGUCUUGGCUAUUGUGAAUAAUGCUGCAAUGAACAUAGGGGUGCAGGUAUCUUCAUGCAUUUGUGUUUUCAAGUUCUUUGGAUAAAUACCCAGCAGUGGAACAGCUGGAUUGUAUGGUGGUUCUCUUCUUAAUUUUCUGAGGAAGCUCCAUACUGUUUUCCAUAGUGGCUGCACCAGUUUGCACUCCCACCAGCUUAAGAUGCUUUGCUGUGGCUCAACCUUGAGAGACUUAAGCUGAUUCCUUGAGAUCCGUUCGGAAGCUUUUUUUGGAGGUUGGGCUGGCAUUACAUUUGAGUGUGAAAUCUCCCUGAGGUGGCUGCCAGGCAUCCCUGUUAUAUUUGGGCUACCGGCAGUUGUAAAAAGCAAGGAAUUCAGACUGCUGACAGGUCCCAGGGUGAAACGACUUCCUGCAAUGGCUGCAAGUGGAAGCAAAAAGUGAAGACAGGAGGGGCCUGAGCUGAGGGCCACAGGCCCCAAGGAGUUACGGAGGCAGAAACCCUGGCGACAUCCACCAUCUAAGGGUCCAGAGCUUCAAAGGAUCAAGUUCCCAACAUCCAGGCUGUUCGAGGGGUGAGGCUGGGGUGUAGGAGAAGGAACCACUGUACCCAGAGGAGGGAGGAGUCUGCUCUAGGCUUCAGCUUCUGACCUAAAAUCAAAACACUCUUUACCCUGAAGAAUCAAUGUCCUUCCGACACUUGCUUCUGAUCCCCAGGAAAGAUUCAUAGUUCUAUUUAGCUGGCAAAGUCCUUCCACCUAAUUUCUGUUUAGCUAGUAUUUAACAUGGUCCAUUUCACGGAGUCAGUUCUUGUGAACUACAAGGCCUGGCUUGGGCUUUAUUCUGCUAAGAGAACACCUGCCUUCAGCUCUGAAGUACGUGGAGUUUUCUUUCACUGACAGGGCAUGGAGGGUGCCCAAUCCAACAUUCAUCAUCCUAAUUUCUCUGAAGGAAAGAAGAAGUGUCAUUUGAUCCAACCACCUAUGCAAAAUGCCUGGCAUACACUGGCGGCUCAGUAAAGCUAAGUCACUGUCGUUGCCUGAGAUAAGUGAGAGUUUACCUGCCCUUGGUCUACAUUGUCCCAGGUCCUCCCUCACCUCUCUACCUGUCGGUUUCCCAGGAAGCUGAGGUCCCAUCAUGCUUCACACUUCGGCCUGGGCACAGCACAGGUGACCAGCUUCCAUUGUGCUGGCCAGCAUCCAUGACCCCAGUUAAGGUCGGGCAGGGGGAUCCCCAAAGAGAACAGUGCCCAAGGAAGGGGAGGCUAUAUGCUGGGGGACAUGUAGGUGACGUGGGUCUGAGGGAAGCGGCGAGGGUGGAAUUCCAGAGAGCAGCUGCCUCUUGUUCUUCGUGUCCCUGGAUGUAGUUUUCAUUACGGGGAAACCUAACUUGUUCAACAAAUGGUUCCCAAACAAUUGGAUAUCCAUAUGCGAAAAAAUGAAAAAGGAACCUCAACCAUAAUCUCAUGCCAUAUGCAAAAAUUAAUUUUAAAUGGAUCAUAGCUCUACUUGUAACCACUAAAAUGAUAAAGCUUCUAGAAGAAACAUGGGAAGAAAUAUUUGAGACUGGUCAGCAAGAUGAUUUUCCCAAAGAUAUCCACUCCCUAGCCCCCAGAACCUGUGAUUAUGUUAUGUUAUAUGACAAAGGGGACUUUGCAGAUGCAGUUAAGGUUACAGACUUUAAAAUAUGGGAGGAUCCUGGAUUAUCCAAGAGGGCCUAAUCUGAUCACACGGACCCUUAAAAGCAGAGAAGUUUCUCCAGCUGCGGCAGAAAGGAAAAGUAAAGAUUUCAAUCAUGAGAAGGAUUCCAAGUGCUUUUACUGGCUUUGAGAGUUAGGGUCUCCUGUUCCAUGAUCAGAGUGAGGCCUGUAGGAGCCAAGGGCAGUCUCAGCUGACACCAGCAAAGAAAUGGGGACCUCAGACCUAUAACCUCAAGGAACAGGAUUCUGCCAACAACCUGAAUGAACUUGCAGUGGAUUCUUCUUGAGCAUCCCAAUAGGAACCCAGCCAACUAACACCUUGAUUUUGACCUUGGGGGACCCAGAACGGAGAAACCAGUCAAGGAAUCCACACUUCUGACCUAUAGAACUGUGAGAUAAUAAAUUUGUGUUGUCUUAAUGCCGCUAAAUUUAUCAAUAAAUCCAGAGAACGCACUGGAUUUAAGAUUCCUCGAUCCUGAUGCUCUCAGUUGACAUCUAAGCCUCUGUAAGAAGUCCCAGCCACAGUGUUAUGUUUAUUCUGCCAAAUUCCUGGGGUGAGGUAAGUGCAAGAAAGACCUACUGGCUCAGAAAGCCUGCUAAUCAUCAUUAGCCUUUCAAAGGCUUUUCCAGAGAAUUGUUCUUUCACUUUUUAUCUUUCAUGCUACCAUAUUUUAUUGAGUCUAAAACACCAUAGAUUAUCAAGAAGGGGAAGAAAUUUGCAAAUAAAAAGACCUAUUAAAUUUAUUUAGACAGAUUUUUUAUCCUAUAUCACCUAUGGGCCCAUGAAACUAUAUAUGCAAAGAAAAUUCGUUGGUUAGCGUGUUCCUUAAAUUUAUUCAGAAUCCUAUUUUUCUGAAUCACAUUUCAAUUCAAAGUCAUCAAAUUUUAUGUUUUGCGAGACUAUUGUCUUCUAGACCAGGGUUGGCAAACUUUUUCUGCAAAGGGCCUGAUAGGAAAUAAUUGAGGCUUUGCAGGCCAUGUGCUCUUUCUUGCACCUUCUCAACUCUGCUGCUGUAACGCAGAAGCAGCCACAGACAGUACUAAAUGAACGGAUGUGGGUGUGUUCCAAAAAAUCUUUGUUCAUGGACACAGAAAUUUGAAUUUCAUGUAAUUUUCGUAUGUCAUGAAAUAUUAUUAUUCUUUUGAUUUCUUUCAACUAUUAAAAAAUAUAAAACCCAUUCGUAUUCACAGGCUAUACAAAAACACACGGUGGGCUAGAUUUGGUCUUUGGGCCACCAGUUUGCCAACCCCUGCUCUACGCCAUUGUGAACACUGCUCACUCUGGUGAAGGCUAGCCACCAUGUCACUAGGACACUCAAGCAGACCUUUGAGAGGUGCAUGUGUGGUGAAGUUGAUGUGGAGAGGAACUAAUUCACCAGCACGAACUUGCCACCAGUGAGUGCAUCCUCCAGCCUCAAUCAAGCCCUUGGAUGAUUCCAGCCCUGUAGGACUAAAGUCUUCCAGCCGAGCCCCCAGACGUCACAGGGCUGUGUCCUGUCUGAAUUCCUG
ensembl:lncRNA